rnacentral:rRNA from 1 species
GUAGGGAAUAUUGCGCAAUGGGGGAAACCCUGACGCAGCGACGCCGCGUGAGUGAUGAAGGCCUUCGGGUCGUAAAGCUCUGUUGCAGGGGAAUAAAAAAAUGACGGUACCAUUCGAGGAAGGACCGGCUAACUUCGUGCCAGCAGCCGCGGUAAUACGAGGGGUCCUAGCGUUGUUCGGAAUCAUUGGGCGUAAAGGGUGUGUAGGUGGCCAUGUAAGUCAGGUGUGAAAGCCCCGGGCUCAACCCGGGAAGUGCACUUGAUACUGCGUGGCUUGAGUACCGAAGAGGGUAGUGGAAUUCCAGGUGUAGUGGUGAAAUACGUAGAUAUCUGGAGGAACACCGGUGGCGAAGGCGGCUACCUGGUCGAGUACUGACACUGAGACACGAAAGCAUGGGGAUCAAACAGGAUUAGAUACCCCAGUAGUCC